rnacentral:lncRNA from 10 species
CUCCUGAGGAGAAAGAAAGAGAGGGAGGGAGAGAAAAAGAGAGAGAGAGAAACAAAAAACCAAAGAGAGAGAAAAAAUGAAUUCAUCUAAAUCAUCUGAAACACAAUGCACAGUGACAUUUCGCAUCUUUCAAACCUGUGAUGAGAAAAAGUUUCAGCUACCUGAGAAUUUCACAGAGCUCUCCUGCUACAAUUAUGGAUCAGCUCGUGUCCUCUGUCUCUUGCCUCAGCGCCUGGGUGGCUUGCCGCCCACAUCUAACCCAUCUAUAUACUACAGUAUGGAGAUUUGAUUGAGGAUACAUUGUUUAGGAAUUCCUUUCCUACAAGAAACCUAAAAUGAGAGAGUUUUUUAUUGGACUGUCAGACCAGGUUGUCGAGGGUCAGUGGCAAUGGGUGGACGGCACACCUUUGACAAAGUCUCUGAGCUUCUGGGAUGUAGGGGAGCCCAACAACAUAGCUACCCUGGAGGACUGUGCCACCAUGAGAGACUCUUCAAACCCAAGGCAAAAUUGGAAUGAUGUAACCUGUUUCCUCAAUUAUUUUCGGAUUUGUGAAAUGGUAGGAAUAAAUCCUUUGAACAAAGGAAAAUCUCUUUAAGAACAGAAGGCACAACUCAAAUGUGUAAAGAAGGAAGAGCAAGAACAUGGCCACACC